GCUGCUGGGAACCGGCCGGGGUGCCGGGUCGAAAGACAGACGCGCGGGCCGGGCGUGCGCGGGCUUGGUGGAGGGCGGGAAGGCUGAAGGGCGGUGACAGGUCGCACUGCCUCGCGAGGGCCAGAACGCCCAUUUCUGCAGAGGUGCACUCAGUGGCGUGGGAAAUCAAAUGCAUCCGGUUAUCCCAGUUCGGCCUCUCUGGGAUUCCGCGGGAGGGGGUGUCUGGUCUGGUUUGGUUUGGUUUGGUUUGGUUUGGUUUGGUCCGGUUCAAAGUAGCGCAGUCUGACUGAGCGGGAGGUGGAGUGGAAGGCGAGAAUAGGGGUGAAGGAUUAGACAGAAGAAGACUUUGAACUAGGAACAGUGGCAACCAGGGUGACCCAGGCUUUUGUGACCCGUAGAGGCAGAAGGUGAGGCGUCUACGCCCUCUCUCACCAGAUUUUGGGCGGCCCUGUGGAGACACCCUGUGCCCUUUAAGGGACAUGGAUUGAGUCGGGAUCUCAAAAUGUGAGCCUUUCCUCAGACCCAGCUUUGACCCACGUACUCGCCUUUCCUCAACUCAUUUUCAUACUUUCACUUGACUAUAUAUUUUUUAAAAAUUGUGUUAAGCACUUGAGGUUCAUUUCUGCCCCUACUGUAUGUGCACCCUGUGCCAGAGGGUGGGGUGAACACGUGUGUAGCAGUCAUGCGUCCUGUCCACAGGGGCCGAUGCACCUCCUUGCAACCCUUUACAUUCCACUGUGAAACAAACCUCAACUUUUUCUUAUUCCUGUUUUUACACCGUGCUUAUAGCUGCCUUAAUCCAUGUUCCCUUCGGGAUGCUGGUAUCCAACUGAGAAGUUGACGGAGCAUCUAUCGUGUGCCAGACACUGUGCUAAGUGCUAACGAGAAAUCGGUGAGCAAAACAGAAAAGAAAAAAAAAGAAGAAACGACUGCCAGCAUUGAACUUAGUACCUAGCAAAGUAGGUGGACAUAAAUCAAAUUGUCAGACAAGUAAAUGAGUAGUUGCAGCUGUGAUAAGGGGUAUGAAGAAUAGGCGCUUCCAUGAUGGCGGAACAUGACCUAGUCUGGGGUGGAGAAGGGGAGAUGAUUCCAGCUGGAAUAUGGCAGGUGAGAGUUAACUAAUAGCACUGAGUUGGCAGAGGCAGGAUGACCUGCCCCAGGCAGGUGCCCCAGAAUGAGAGGAUGUUGCUGCUGGUGGAACUCCAGCUUUAAAGCGGUGGAUCUAGGGCCACAUUCCUCAAGGCCAUAGCAAACAGGAAAGACCUUUUGGACUAGGGUCUUUGGAGUAGUCACAUGAGGCCAAGAACCCAAUAGGGCUGAAAGAGAAUCUCAUCAUAGGCUGAAUGGGAGCAGAGCAUUAGCUGCAACUCCAAUGUAUUAUAGUAAAAGGGGACACAUUGAUUAGAAUGAUUAUACCCCUCCAAGUGUAAGCUGUUGUUCAAUUUACCCAGGGCUUAAAAAUAUGUCAACUCUUCACAACCAUUUUUACUACAAGCCACACUCAACCUGUGUUGUUCCCUGAACCUGUGAUGCACUUUCAUCCGUUCAUGUCUCUACACAUCCUUCCUGGGCCCCAUAGAGGCCCUGCACCUUAAGGUUUUCAGCUGGAUUCCUAUUAGCUAGUUAUUUUAUCUCAGGUACAGAGAGUUAACUUUGCUCCUCAAUUUUCAGCACAUUGUCAUAUCAGUCCCUACAGGGUCCUUGUUUACAUUAUUUUAUAGUGUUUAUAUUAUUUUUUCCUCAUCUUUCUCGAUCCCCACUCUCAUUCUUCUAGACACAAGCUGCAAUAUGUUCGAUAGAGAUCCUUGAUAAUUUAACACAGAUAAUGUUUUGUUUAUGCCUCUUGCAUUUACAGAGAUGGUAUUGGACUGUAAAUCUCUAUUUCCCACUGUUUUACUCAACAGUCUGUUUUUGAGCUAUACCCACAUUGCUGUGUGUACACCUAGUUUGCUACCGAGUAUGCCAGAAAUUUUAUUCAUACAUAUCCCUACUGAUCGGGCAUCUAGGUUACUGCCAACUCCCUGAAGUCAUACUGUGGUGAAAACCCUUGUGAAUGUCUUUACAAACCUUUGCCAGAACUUAUUUUGUGCUCUUGUAGAACUUUGUGCAUACCCUCUGCUUCCUCAUUACACUGCUUGGCAUAUAGCAGAGACUCAACAAAUGUUGAAUACCUCUACUAUGAUGGUUAGUGUACUAGAAUAAUUUAUUUAUAUUUCUGUUUUCCUUAUUGGAUUAUUAGUACCUUCCAGACAGGGCAAAUGUCUUUUCUAUCUUUGUGUCCCUGGCACAUUAAAAGUGGUUGAUUUCAAGGUAUGUUCAAUGAAUGAAUAAAUACUUAUCUUCACUGCCAGUAC
rnacentral:lncRNA from 1 species